UUGGAUAGAGAAGCAAGAAAAUAAUGAAAAAAACGAUGUAGAAAUUUUGUCGAAACUUUCAAAUCAUAGCAGAUUUCUGGAAACUGUUUACUCUGGAAUAGAUGAUUUGAAUACAAUCCAGAGGAAGUCUAUGAAUGCCACGACAAAUACACUUCUACACUUGUCUGA